CUCUCUGGAGAGGGAUUAGCAUGGCAAAGGUGUGGAUGCAGAGGAAAGCACUUGAAGUCACUUAGAAGGAGCUUCGCGGGGAGCCUCCCCACCCUUCAGUCUCUUUUAAAUGCAAGUUGUGUGACCUCCAGGGCUUGUGAGACAGCAGGCCUGGGUAGACUCCUGGGGACCAACUCCUACAAACCCUGAAAUGGGGAGUUUAGGACAAUAGGGAGCAUGGAGAGUUGGGGGCCCAGAAGGAGGUGAUCAGACUCAUGUUAGAACACACUGAUUCCCUGCGGGUGGCGAGGAAGUCAGUUUGAAGAGCAACAGCUUCGUGGUAAAGGAGCCAGGUCUAGGUGUGAGCAUGCAGCGUGGGGAUUUGUCCGAGAGGAACAGUCUGAGCCUCGUGGAAUGGGGAAGCAAGGGAGAGGACUGAGGACUGUGGGUUCUGCUCAGUCCAGUGAGGAAGGGAACAGAGGCCUCGCCCAUCCUUCUCAGGACUGGCUCAUUCCCCAAGCUGGUGCCCACAGAGGAGAGAAGGCUAAGGUCAGUGAACAGCUGCCUGUCAGGCAUCCAGGACAAAGGGCAGUGCACUUUGUUCUCCGGGGACUUUUAUUUUAUUCUUCUGACUUGUUAAAGAAAGAUCUAAGGGCCUUAAGGGACCACAAGUCAAGUAUCUCUCAAACAUUUAUAUAGUACCCAUUAAAGCAAAGUACUUUAAUAUUUGUGUAGCAGACAGAUAUAUUAGGCCCAUGCUUUCUUUUUCUUUCUUUUUUGAGCUGGGGAUUGAACUCAGCACAUGCCUACCCCUGAGCCAGCCCCAAGGCCAUAUUUUCUGAAUCUCAGACUUGGACAUAUGACCUGCAUAGUUUUGGGUUUUUUUUCUUUUUUUCCCCAGAUUCAUCUGUUAUGGAUUGAGGUGUGUCUUCCAGAACCAUAUGAUAUGUUGAAGUCCUCACACUGAGUACCACAGAACGUGACGAUUUGGACACGCGGUUGCUGCGGAUGUCACCAGUUCAGAUGAGGACAGACUAAUGGGGGGGGGCAGAGGGGGCCUGGAUCCAAUAUGGCUGGAUACCCAUGAAGGCCCGGGCUGACGGCCACCAGCAGCAGCUGGGGAGGGGCGAGGAAGGACUGGACUUGGCUGUCAGGGGGACACGGCUCCAGGUACCCUGGUCAGUCUGCUGGCCUUCGGAGCUGGAGACAAACAGCCCUCUGGGCUACGGCACUCAGUUUGUGAUACUUUGUCACAGAAGUUCUAAGAAACAAAGAGAACAUUGGAGUUAAAUCACACUGGAUUUUUGCUUGUUUAGACCCUGUGCUCCCCUCUGAAGGAGGGUAUUUUUCUAGAAUGGACACAGAGCACUCCCCAGGGCAGUGCUUCAGGGACUCUGCUGGCCUGGCCCCCAGCUCCGCAGGCCUCCCCUGGCCCAGCCUCCUGCUGCCCCCCCACCCCCACCCCAGCACCUGUUCCCACUUCCCCUUCCUCAGUGGAGCAGGUCGGAGCAGGUGGCUGGGUUUCAAAUCCUGCCUCUGCUGCUUCCUGGCAUCUGGAAACAUCACUCGGGCAAGUUCUGAUCUCUCGAGGCCUCAGUGUCCCCACCUGGGAAACGGGCCCCCAUGGGGGGGCCUUUCGAGGGCUGAGUCCUUCCCUCUGGGUGGCAGUGAGCACUGGAGGGCUGUCACAGUUCCCUCCCUCCUGCUCGGCUUCCAGGCGCCUCCCUGGUGGCCGCCCCCGACCCCACUGGAUGGUGUCACCCAGGAGCAUCGCACCUGCCUCCUCCUGUCUCCACCUGUGCGGCUCCCCUGGUGGAGAAGGGGGGACUGCAGCCCCAUGUCUGAGCACACAGUAGGUGCUUCGGAAAUAUUUAUUUACGAAGUGGAGCAGAAUAUUGGCAGUGACCCCAGAGGCUCCGGGACGGCUGUCCCAGGACGGCCUGCCCCUCCUCUGGAACUGAAAGUGGGAGAAAGUGAGCCCCAGGACAGGGCGCGGCGGGACGGGCACGACCCCAGGCCUGCUCCAGCUCGGGGACCUGGCCCCCAGCUCCGCACAUCCUGCCUCCUGUGUGACCCCACAUGCUGUCACCCACGCACACCCCCCAGUCCCCAGGCAGCAGCUUCCUCUGACACACACUUUCCACCGCUGGGUGAGCUGGGUGCGGCAGAGCAGGUUGCAGAUGACAACAAUCUCCAAGGUCCCUUCCCUGGUCCUCCCCACCACACCCCCUCCUCGUCCUGCUUGGCUCCUGUCCCUGCUGACCUGACCCGUCUGGAGCCCCGGACUUCAAUGGCACAGGAUCCACUGGAGGCCUAGAUGGCUACAUGAGGUGUCAGAAAUGUCUUGGAUCAGGGACAGGACGUAGAGUCAGGACCGUGGUCACCAUGUGACUCUGGGCAAGCCGUGCAGGUCCAGUCCCCUGGGGUUGCUGUAGGGGUGACACCAACAGUCCAGGGAGUGCCACCAUCCCUGCUCAUCUGAUCAUGUGUGGGGACAGCACAGGGGCCCCGCAGAUGUCGGGAAGGUCCCCUGCUCUGGGCCCAGCACUGAGUCAGGUGCUGGGGGUUUCGAGAGCGAUCUGACACCAGCUGAGCUGAUGUGGGGGAGAGAAGGGUAGAGUCAAGGGACGAGGUCACCAGACUCACUUCUGACCCCCUUAACUCUGCAUGGGACUUUCUGGAGCCUACAAUAAAGGUACCAACCCUGAUGCCUUCCAGGUGACACUGGACACGCUGUGCCGAGCUGAGAGGGCCGGGCUGCUGCAGACUCCCAGGUGGACACCGUGAGAACCCUGGAAGUCUUGGCUGGAGGCCAGCCCUCCUCCUUGGUGGCUUCCCAUCCGCUUCCUCUGCAGGCUCUGUGGUGUCCCUGCCCACCCGACUCACUGCCUGGCUCCUCAGCCAGUCUUCCUUCCUCUGGCUUUAGGAGGCAUCAUGGGUGUCCCUUGCUCUGGGGACCCUCUGUUCCCACAUUGCCUCCUUUGCUCAGACGAAGGGCCUGUCAUCUCGCCAGGUCUGAAGGCAAGAUGUGGCGCUGCUCGGGGCUGCAGGUCCCCCAUCCCACACAGGCCACCUG
rnacentral:lncRNA from 1 species